CCCCUCCAGAUUCCUUACCCCAUCAGAUCUAAAUUUUGGUCUCAGUGGCUUUUAAAAGGAGGCAAAGUCAAGUGGACUUGGAGUCUUUAAGGACGAGUUCAUGUCAAACAUUA
rnacentral:snoRNA from 1 species